rnacentral:rRNA from 1 species
GGGGAAUAUCGCACAAUGGGCGCAAGCCUGAUGCAGCCAUGCCGCGUGUGUGAAGAAGGCCUUCGGGUUGUAAAGCACUUUCAGCGGGGAGGAAGGCGGUGAGGUUAAUAACCUUAGUGAUUGACGUUACUCGCAGAAGAAGCACCGGCUAACUCCGUGCCAGCAGCCGCGGUAAUACGGAGGGUGCAAGCGUUAAUCGGAAUUACUGGGCGUAAAGCGCACGCAGGCGGUCUGUCAAGUCGGAUGUGAAAGCCCCGGGCUCAACCUGGGAACUGCAUUCGAAACUGGCAGGCUAGAGUCUUGUAGAGGGGGGUAGAAUUCCAGGUGUAGCGGUGAAAUGCGUAGAGAUCUGGAGGAAUACCGGUGGCGAAGGCGGCCCCCUGGACAAAGACUGACGCUCAGGUGCGAAAGCGUGGGGAGCAAAC